rnacentral:tRNA from 1 species
GUGUUUGUAGUCCAACGCUUAGGAUAAUUGUCUUCCAAGCAAUAGAUCCGGGUUCGACUCUCGGCAAACGCA